UUGGCCCACCGGAUCAGAACAAUUGGACCAGUCUCGGGAUUUAUAGCCAUGCGUGAAAACUGCGGUAACGCUCGGGACUUCUGGGUUCUUCGUCAUUUGUUAAAAACACUGUGAAUUCCGCUCCCUGAAUGUGUUGGUCACUUCCAUUCUGCCAUUGGCCAGCGUGUUCACGGCUUCUGACAGGAAAAGUGUUUUACUCAAAGAUUUGCAGAACUUCCUUCCUGCAAGAUUUCAGUAGCAUGGCAAGAAUUGCGAGAGGGAGCUACGGUAUUGAUCAUAAAAACACCCCGCAAAGCCUAAGCUUGUCCUUCACUGGAUUUAUAGGAAGAUGUCGUGGAAAGCAAACAUGGGUGAAAUUUGCCUAAUGCUUGCCGAGUUUUUAAAAAAUCUAUUUUUACAUAAAUUCAGUGGGGAAAACAAGAGUUAUUUUCCUGAUUGAGAAAUAAGUAUCCACCACACAAUGGGCAUCAGCAGCUACCCAUCACGUCAUGUUCCAGACCCCAGGCUCGGUCCCCGCUGACCUACGUUUUCUCUAGUCUUUCAACAAUCCCCAAAGGAUUUCCAUUAUUCCCAUUUUGGAGAUGAGAAUGACAAAGUUUAAGGAUUGUAGGAGACCAUUGCGCAGCCGAGAAUUAAUGAAUCUUUUCGUUUGUUAAGUUCUUUGUGGGAAGGUUCACCAUGGAUUCCCCCAGAACGUAGGAGGGUAAAUGCCCGGUCUUGGCAAAUAGAACUGCUAGAAUUCCCUUAAAACAACAGAGGUUCCUAGACUGGGUCACUGUUAGAAGUUUCCAAGGGAGCUCACAACUUGAAGAAAGGGCUCCGGGGUAUUUGGACAGCAGCUUUCCCACGUUCUCGCAUGGUGGUGUGCUUUCCAGGUGCCCCUCCAGCUGUCCCUGGAGUCCAGGCAUCCUUAAGCGCGACACUGCUGAUGACCUAAGCACAGGAAGCUCGGUGGGUGGGUCGUGAUUGGUUCACAGCGAACCAGGAGUUGCUGGCGUGCCUUCCUCUCUCAAACCCCAGGAACUUUUCUAGUCACAAUGGGACUGGAACUGGUUCCCAUUGCCCCCUCCUCCUGACAUCCUCGAAGUUGAGUAUGCGGCAUCACAGCCUGGAGAAGCCCAACACACAGGCGGCCCGUCCCUUGGGACCGUCCUCACGUGCGGCUGGGUGGCUCAGUAGAGGCCCCCACAGCUUUUGCUGCUGUUCCCCCAGGCACGGGGGUGUUGCAGGAGUGACCUUGGAAAUGCUGGAUUUCCAGUGGCCUGUUGCCCACCAGGCCGUAGCCCCUGCUGCCUGUCUCCAUCUUCCAACAGGGCACCACCAGACAGAUCCUGAACCCUGGACUACUGGGGCUCCCUAUCUUCAAUCUGCAGCGAGCACGGACGUUCUCUUUCAUUUUCUUUAACUAAACGACUUACCCAUCUGAAUUCUGCCUGAAGGCAAUUUUGCCAUAAAGAGUUAAAUUUUUACAGUGACAAUGCAGGCACACAUCUGUCUCGUGGAGCAGAGCAGGGACACCCUUCACACAGCGACCUCACUGACCGCCAGCGCAGACCAUCACCUAUCUUGCACAUUUGGAAGGAAGUCUUGCACAACCGGAGUGAAGUGUGGCAAUGUGAAACUGAAGAAAUAGACGGAACAGAACUAUGCUUUGUUGGGUACAUGCCCGUCACCCCUACACAUGCUUGGGUGCCCAGCACUUCAGGAAGCUGCAGAAAAUGCUGAUAUGCCGCGGGGCGGGCGGGGCGGGGGGCAGUUACCCAUUAGCUAAGUAACUAAGGCCUUUAAAAAGUUAAUCAUUGUUUAUGGCAGCUUUGAAAUGGGGGCUCUUAAUUUAAGGAACAGUUCCAGAUCACAGGAUAGCUUUGCUUUUUUUUUUUUGUACGGCUUACGUAAAGGGAAGUCAAGGCCUAGCACCCCGAGUUUGGAGGAACUGACAGGGACACAUCAGGCAUUUGAGUGAAAUCUGCUUUUAUUGAAAAUUCUUCAGCGACUGCUCAGCCCAGCGUGGCUCGUAUCAGGACAUGUGGUACCCAGACUCCUUCCCCUCUUUGUCUCUUCUCACUCACAGACGUUUAGAGAAUUCUCAUUAAAAUUACUUAGAGCGAAACAGAGAGACCGUGUUAUAAAAUAAACCUAG